CAGCCGCCGCGGUAAUACGUAGGUGGCAAGCGUUGUCCGGACUUAUUGGGCGUAAAGCGCGCGCAGGCGGUUCCUUAAGUCUGAUGUGAAAGCCCACGGCUCAACCGUGGAGGGUCAUUGGAAACUGGGGGACUUGAGUGCAGAAGAGGAGAGCGGAAUUCCAUGUGUAGCGGUGAAAUGCGUAGAGAUGUGGAGGAACACCAGUGGCGAAGGCGGCUCUCUGGUCUGUAACUGACGCUGAGGCGCGAAAGCGUGGGGAGCAAACAGGAUUAGAUACCCUGGUAGUCCACGCCGUAAACGAUGAGUGCUAAGUGUUAGAGGGUAUCCACCCUUUAGUGCUGUAGCUAACGCAUUAAGCACUCCGCCUGGGGAGUACGCUCGCAAGAGUGAAACUUAAAGGAAUUGGCGGG
rnacentral:rRNA from 1 species